rnacentral:ncRNA from 1 species
CAGAACUUUGGAGAAACCCAUUGAGUUGGGUGCCGAAGGUGCAAAGCGUGAACGCGCUAAUCUCUCAGGCAAAAGGACAAAGC